CUGCUCUUGGUUCCCUGCUCCAGACCUGAACCUGACCCCGCCCAUGGGGAUACAUCCUGUCCUGGUGUUGUCCUAUCCCCAUGCCCAGGGAGUUGCCUGAUGGCUGGAGCUGCCCCCAGACUUCCCUGGUGCCUGGCUGGGGUGGUAGGACAGGUACCCCAGGCAACACCCACUGUCUCUGGCCUUCACAGGGCCCUGACACGUGGUGUUCAACCUUACAAACACCACCACGGAAAGACCCCUUUCACCAUUUCAGCUAAGGAAGGUUAAUCCAGAAAGAUCUUGGGCUAAAGGGUACAGAAAGAACUUCUAUGAUUCCCUCUUGAUUUUUUCUCAAGAGCACAAGACUACCCUUUAAAGAGCUUAUCGUCACCCUCCUGGGAAUCUUUAGUUCCUCAACAGAGUUGACUGGAAACCUCCCCUCAUGCAUCAUUUCCUGAAGAGUUCAAUCAGCUUAGCAGGAAAGACUGAAGGCCAAAACCUACAAAUAAGAUAAGCUUUGUUAUGGUAAAGAGAACACUAAAUGUAUCUGCUGCUUUUCUUCUUUUUGAUUUUUUCCCCCCUCCUCAUGGUAUGUGAAAGGUGAGGAUGAAAUCUGCCUCUGUCAGACACCGGCUGCUGUUAAAAAUAGACAUGUCUCAAGUAAGAUGUUUUCGGGAUGGGGUUUGAUAAGGGUUUUUUAUAUUAUAGUUAAGGAUACAUUCAUGUCAAAUUGCUGGCAAUCUGAUCAAAGCUGUCACUUUGUUCUCCUACUUUUUCUUUUCUUCCUUUCCCAGUUACAUGAAUACAUGGUUGCUCAGAAAUUUUAUUCCUUAUUUUAAAUAAGCUCUUGGUACAAUAGUCCCAGCGACCCAAAAGUAAAGCAAGUUGUUAUGCAAGGGUAAACAAUGAACAUGGUAUGUUCUAUUUAUUUCAUUUAGCCAGUAUUAGAGCUUUAUCCCAAGAAUAUUUGAUUGUUGUGAGAAAAGUCAUUAAUAAUAUUUACGAUAAAACUGAAACCAGAACUUAAUAACAUUCAUGUUCUACAAAAUCAUGUCUGCUUCAAAACAGCCUUAGGAUUUUGACUGCAUCUCAUUCAGCACAGCCAUAUUCAUAAUUUUCUGUGGGCUCCUGAGAGUUAUUUUGUUGCCCUUGAGGGUAUUGGUGCUAGUUCUGCCUGCAGCCUGCUCAGCCCUUCACUCCCAGAAGUGUUUAUGAGAUGCACUUUGUCAUCAUGUGGCCUUGUGAGCUCUCCAAAAAAAAGUGUUAAAUUUACAUGACAUUCUUAUCUGUUGACAGCUACAUUUUCCUAAUCAGAAGAAGCAAGUUCAGAGUAUGGUUGUUAUUGCUGCUCCUGUUAUUUUUAAAAAUUCCUUAUGGUAAUUGUGCCAAAUGUCACUAUUUGAAGAAGGUGAAGGAGCUGAUCAAGUUAAAUUCUGAGAUUGCUUUGUCAUCAUGAAAUGGUAAAGAGUGACUGCAAAUAUUCUUCAUGAAAAACAAAUGGAAUACCUGAGGUUUUUUCCACUGGUUUUGCUUGAGUGGAGUAAAUCCCAAUUCACGGUGGCGGGUACGAGAGAAGGGCAAGAAUCCUAGGCAAGAAUCCAGGGAAAAUGUAUGCCAACACUUAUAAAUAAAAUAAUUGAGGGUUGGUUCCUCCCUGCACACUUACGGCUGGAAGUCAGUGACAAUCAGUAAUGAAAGUCACUUUUUCCCCUGGCAGAACUUUGCCUGUGUCUUUACUGACAUUUUCCUGUUGGGGUUUGUCAAGUGCCUCUUCCAGAGCACGAAUGACACUACAGGAGACAGCUGCUAAUACCUUUUACUCUGUACAAGAAAAGCUAUUCCCCUUCACCCUUGAUGUUUCAGAGUGGAGCUUUUCUAAGCUAAGUGCACAGAGUUUUAAAGAAGGGUAAAUAUGUUAGUGUGUAUAUCAUACAUACACACACAUAGAUAUAUAUACGUAUUAGGGCACGCUUAUAGUUUAUUAAUGUUCUUGUGGCUGUAAAUACUGAUGAUAUAGGAAAAUGUAACGUGGCCUUGUAAAAAUAAUUUAUUAGUACAUAGUAAACUGCAGGAUCCCGUUGCAACUCAGUUGUUACUUAUAAUUAACAAAAUUAAGUUUCCCAGACACAAAUGGCAACUAUUGUGGUUUAACCAUAUUUUGAUUUUUAGUUGUUUAAAAAUUUCUGUGACUAAUCUCUUUAUUAUAAGUUCAGGGUUAGCUUGAGUAAUGCGGUGUUGAGAGCAACUGAAUCUGCUCACUUGUGCUGAUGACUCCAGACCCCCUGCACAUCUUCAGUGUAUAGCUACUGCUCUGGAGCACAGAUACUUACAGUUGUCUGGCUUUCAUUGGCAGGUAUAUAGGAAAUUAGAUGUGGUAUUUGAUGGCUCAGUUUCAUUUUGGGGGGUUUACAGUGUUGAUCUCAGCAGAGCUUAGACCAUGUGAUCAUACUGAAAUGCAGUAUUGGACAGAAUUGAGAAAUAUGCUUAUUCAGAGAUCUAACUGUCAGCACAAUAAAGAAGAAAUAUUUGCAUUAGGAAUUAUGCUGUCCUUACUCAGCAUCUUUUUGUAACUGUAUCAGUAGCCAGAACUUGCCAUGCUGCUGUGUGAGCUCAUGAAUGGAUUGGCAUUGACAUAGUGAGUCUUUUUUCCAGUGUCAAAACAUUACAGUACGUUUAGAGUUACCCCUGGCUAAAGCCAUUUUAAGUGAGAGAGAGAGAGAGUAUGAAUGUGAUUUACAGUAAAGGUCUUUUCUUCUUUGUAGAUCACUGAAGGGUGGAGGGAGAGCCUCCCCCUGCCCAUCUGUGUGAACUUGGCUAUUCUACACAGUAGCAGGAGCUGGGGUUCCCUGCAAGGUGACUCUUUUGUGAAAUGACGUGAAACUUCCAGUGAAGGAGUACAUUUGUAUGUGUUAUAGAUUCUACUGGAAAUAUGCACUUUUUCUGGAUGUCAUGCUCCUGGUAAGGCACCAGAAUAUUAUACCUGCUCUCUUUGUUCCUCCAUUUCCCGACUCUUUCCUGUGUGACACAGUUCUAGGCAGAGUAACCCAGGCUGAUCAGGAACCAGUUGCCAACCCUCCCUGGGUAUGGCCCUUCAGAGGAGCUCCCUGGUCUUCACAGCAGUGAUGUGUGUGGCAGUGGAGCUUACUGACAGUUCUGAUCAGGUUGAAAGCAAACAAAACACUCCAAGCAUCAUUUCAGAUACAAACCUUGCUUAGAAAACAGUUCUCAGCAAACUGAGCUCACAAAGCGCUCAAGAUUGAAACAGUAGAAAUAAUUUCUAUGAAUUCCACUCCCAUUGCCAAGAAGGAAUCAGGCCUUCUGGGGAACUCUCCAAACUGAUCCAGAUACAGAGCUGGGCAGGCAGAGAAGGUGAAUGCUGUUGGCAGCUGGGCAGAGAGCCAGCUAGCGGUUCUCUUCCAGACUUUCAUGGCUGCACAGAGCAUAGCAUCUCCCUCUACCAUUUAGUAAAUUUAUGACAUCACCAGCUGUUACCGGGGAAACACAGAAAAUACAGAUUUGGAUCUUGGCAGCUAGGCAUAAAGAGAAAAUAUCUUGGUCUUUUGAGGGUCAAAAAGGAAACCUGCAACAAUUCCAGAACAACUUUGAAUUGGAACAAAUCAAUACUUCCAAACCAAACAAUUUAGCUGCUAAACUGACAGUGUGGUCCCUAUAUUAUGUCCCUCACAGAAAACAAACAUGGGAGAUCAAGUGCAGAACUUCUAACUUCAUGCAGCUUAAACAUAUCCUUUGGACAUAAGACCAUUUUUGUUGACUUAGAACUUCAGUUCUGAUCAGUGGAUUUAACAAGUUGCUUUUAGGGAUGUGAUAUCCUCUGACCAAUAUUUUUCCAGAAAGUGCUGAUAAUUGCUGCUUCUUGAGAAAGAGUUUGCUGGUGUUUCACAGCAAAGAAAGUAUGUAGUGUUGAGUUUUGAUAAAAUUGUGAGCAAACACCAUUACUGUUGUGAUGAAGUAUGUGCUUUUAAUAGCUUUUAAAAAUGUGGGCUUUGUGAGAACGGAUGUCUUCAGACAUGCGUUUCGUGGCUUUUAGGUGCUUGAGAUUUUUGAAGUUAUGGGAAUCAUAUUUUUGUCUUUUAGUAGCAUUAGCUGACAUUUUAUUUAUGUUGCAUGUUUAAAUGAAAACACUGCUUUUUAAAUGGAUUAUUAUUUGAGUAUUGGGUAGUUGAGGCCCAGCUAAUAUUAGCUCUUGUGCAGGUUUGUUUGAUUUCAUUCAUGCUGUACAAAAUGUACAGGUUUGGUAUGUACUCGAGUUACCCAGAAACAAAUGUAUCUUUGCUGCAAAGGCAGAUGGAACAAGCUCGAGUGAGGACUCAAGCUGAACUCAGAUCUGGAACUGUAACAGUUGCUUUGUCUCUAUUCAUACCUGCAAGGCUGUGGGCCGAACAUGACUGGAGAUCCCAGGUCAGAAAGGUAGAGGUUGUUAUACUCACUAAAUGUGUGGGAGAUCUGUAUGGAGGGUUAAAGACCUGCAGACUCACCCUAUUUGGCUGUAUCUCCACUGAGGAGCAAAAUUUUGUAGGAAAAAAUCCCCCCUGCUGCUAAUCUAGUGUCAAAUAUAUCCAUGAUGGAGGUUCUUAUGUGGACACUUAGCAGCAUUUCUAGCAGUGUUCCAAAACUAUUGUCUUAAACAGCAUAGGAAUGUGUUUAAUUUCAUUUGCAUCCUCCAUACCAAAAACCAGGCAAGAUCUUCUUGCUAAACAACCAAUCUUUUCCUCCUGUUUUGUUGGUGGCCUUGGAUCCUGGAAUUUCUCUGUCACAAGAGCAGUUUGCAUACAGUUUGGAUCUUGUUAUCUGGAACAUGGUUCAAUGUUCCCUGUUGUGUCUUGUUUCAGUGGGAUAAUGACCAAGGAAGCUGCUGAGACAUGGGUGGGUUGCCAGGGAUAUGUCAUGAGAAAGCUGUCCAGAGUCAUCUGCCCACAUGCUGUGAUGCUGGCUCCCAUUUCCAAAGCAGGGUUGCAGACAGAGGAGAUCAUUAGUGCUCCAAAGAACUUAGCUAUCUAUGCAAGUUCCUUUUUUUAUCCUUUAUAGUGAGUCACUUGGAAAGGCUCCUUUUUUGGUCCUCUUUAGUUCAACUGCUGGUUCCUUUUGCUUGCAUGCCCAGUCACAGCCCUGAGACUUGUGACUGGGGCUGCAACAGCCAUUGGGCUGUCAUGGUUUAUCUCUGGAAUGGUGGAAAUAUUCUUCUUCUUCACUUUUCUUCUUUAAGGACAUGAAAGAUGUUUCUGAAGAGGAAGGAAUUUACUUCUUGGGAAAAUUCAUGUGCAACCAGGAUGGAGUUCCCCAUGCAGACUUUCAGGUGGUAGAUUUGCUCUGAAAUUCCUGUGAGGAGGAGAACAUUUUGUCUUGUGUGGUAAAUUCAUGGUAUUGGCAGUCUCUGCCAUGGUUUUAGAACUUGGUGCACUCCUGUGGCUUGCACAUGCAUCUCGAGUACACUUUCCCAAAAUGGUGUCUCCACUGAAGCUACUCUUCAGUACCCACAAGGGAUCAGUACUUUGGCCCUGCACAAGCUUCGCACAGGCCUUUAAGAAAAUGAAUUAAUAUGACAAGACUGCAUUAAUCAGACCAAUAUAUGAUACUUAUUAUUUUAUAUUCGCUGUCACUUAUAAUUGUAGAUUACUAUAAGACACCUUCAUCUUGUUGCUGAUGUCUUUUCUAAAUGUGGUGCAGUGGAACAGGAGGGGCAGUGUAGUAGGACAUACAGGGACAGAACAACAAGGAGCUUCUAUAUGAUGCUCUCUUUAGCAUAAACAUAUUGACUCCUGGACUCAGAGAAAAGGCAGUGAAUAAACCUCAGUGGAGAAUAUCCUUAGACAAUAAACUAAUUGUCUUUCUCAUGCUUUCAUCCUCCUUUUUUCCCAGGAGACAAAUAGGAAGAAUUAUCCACACCUGAACCUGAGAUUCACUUAUGCUACAUGUGUAUUUAUCAAAUUCAACUGGAUGGGAACCUUGUCCCCUGAAGAACAUACUUGUGAAGAGCUAGAAAUCAUUAAAUCUAGUAACUGCAUUGAUGUGAGCUGGUAACACAAAUGGACACAGAUCAAUUCUCUCCAUUCCAUCUGGAUUGCACUGUGUUGGGAAAAGUGAUAAAGAAAAUUUCUGCUGUACUGGUUAUGCUUAUGAUAGAUGAAAGCCCCUCUAAAGAUGACACUUUAAUGUUCUCUUUCUUGACCUUCUGAUGUAUGUUAAGUCUUGGUUGCUGACUAAAGUAACAACACAGAUAAUUGAGCUUUUAAAGGCCCUAUUUCAUAAAUCUAAUAACAACACUGAGGGAAGCUGAGGUGUAUUCUCUUCUUACUAGUGUAUCAUUAAUAUAUCUGGUAUCACAUUUUCCAUGUAAAAUAGCUCCUAAAAAAGGAUCUGGGCUGACUUUCAGGCUCCAGUGGGCUGACCAUUAGGAAGGAAAUCUUCCUGCUACCUUCAUUAGGAAGAAAAGGACGCUGCAUGAGAGACACUUUUCGAAGUAUGCCUCAGCAGCAGCCCUGUGUUGAGGGAUUUGGUGGCCUACAGCUAGUAAUACAUAGUGGUGUCCUUCAGAAAGGGGACACAAGCCAGUUUUGAGUUGCUAUGCUCCUCUAAAGGGAUUUUGCUAAAAAAGGAGAAGAAUUUAUCACCUCUUAGAAGAUAUUUUGGCUGUACUAUGCAAGCAAUUUAGUAAAAUCUCUGUAUGUGAGUAUUGGCAGUCUUUGAAACAAAAGAAGUAGGGCUGCUUUGUGUGCACUGAAGAAUUUUUGCUUUUGACUCCACUGGAGCCAUAAUUUGUCACCAGAUUCAUAUCCUGAAACCUAAAGUGCCCUUAAAAGGGCUACUGCAAAUUUAUAAAUCGUAAUCACAGUCCUCUGUUGACAGGACAACCAGUACCAUCCUGUUUAGGAUCUUGCCCUGCAAACCUGUAACCCUCUGUCUGUAGCCCACUCAGUACUCACCCAUGAGAUUGCUUUUUCCCCACCUAUUUUUACAACUUUUGUUGAUAACAAAGAGCACCUUUUUAAAAAAAAUGCUUGAAGGCAAAUUAUACCCCUGAAUACUUAGUGUUUUACUGCUUGGGCUUCAAACACUCUGUAACAAGCUGAUUUGUUUAAUGCCUACAGUCCUUACUGGAAAGUUUUUAAAUUGUGUAAACAUUCCUACCAGUUUUAUGUGUUUCUAAACAUUUUUUUUAAUGUGGGUACAAAUUUAACUUGACAGUGUACUUUCCAAGCUUCCAUUAAAUAGGGCCAAUUUUUUAUUGAUAGAGGAAUAUCUCUGAAAUAGCUUUAUGAUGUCUUGCAAUGGAAGACUUUUCAUUAACUCCGACUAGAAAAAUAACCUACCAUGUAUUUGUAAGUCUUUUAUCAGUUCUUACUGUAUCAUAAUGUCUGUGGGACCCCUGCUGGUGGAAAGGGGAAAAGAGAGUGAAAAACUUCAAAGUUAAUGGAGAAGGGAAUAUAUUUUCACUGUACAUUGUGUUUGCCAGCUACUGUUAUCAUGCAGCCACCAAAGAUCUCAGUGUUUUGAAACUUCUCACAGGUUGCAGUUUGUUGCUUUCCUCACAUAACUGUGUUUUACCUCCCUUCAAGUGUGCCAGUGAUGCUUUAAAAGAUCAGUAUAGAAAUCUUCAGCUACACCAUCUGGUUCCAGUUUUCCUUAAUUUGGUGUCAGCCAAGCUCCUACAGUCCGGAUGAUUAAAAGGGACAGAGGGACCUGCUGCACUUUAGGGAUUUAAGCCUUCCUUUUCCUCCUAUAAAUUCUGACCUUUCCAAAAUGAGUUUUCUUUCUUUUCUUUUCCCCUAAGAAAGUGGAACUUAAAGCAAAUGUUUGAUAUUUUUACUGGUGGAGCCAAAUUCCAUGCGUUCUGGCUGCUUUUCACUGACAGAAAAAUUAUUCCACAAUAAUUUGUCAUUAUUUCCAAAGUGAUACUGUAUGUUACUGUAACAAUAACAGCUAACUUGGCCUUUUGAGAGGUAUAUAUUUUCUCAAGAAAUUUCAGUCUAGUAGGGAAAACACUGAUCAUGAUGACCUUGAGGGAAUACAGCCUAAAGAAAGAAGUGGACGUUUGUGACUGUUUUGAAAUCUCAUGGCUGGAACAGUUUCCUGUUGAGGCACUUUGUGCUUGUGUGACAACCCAUGGAGGGGUUCUCCUGCGUGCUCUGUCUGCAGCCUCGGUCCUGAAAAGGUAAAGAGGGAGCAGGGGCAGCCUCAGUCCCCUCUGCUGAAGGGCUCCUUGGGGAAGGAAAACACUGUGCUGUGCAUAAAAAAUCGGUGUAACUGUUAUCUGAUUGUCUGCCUGAUUACAGGACUAAACAGAGUUAGGUUGGCUACCAGUAUAUGCCAAGUAUACUUGUCCUCUGUUCCUCAUAGUAUGACUGAGCCUUGGGAUCAGUUAUU